rnacentral:ncRNA from 1 species
UUAUUUUAUUUUGGUUAAUAUUUUUAUUAUUAUUUUAUUUUACAUGUAAAUGUUUGUGGGAAUUUAUUUAAUUUUUAAAAAAUUAAAUAUUAAUAUUUAUUCGCAGUAAUUAAUAUUAAUUAAAAAAGAAAUUUUGUAUUAGUAAUAAUAUAUUGUAUUGGUAAAAUUUGUGCCAGCUACCGCGGUUAUACAAAUAAUGCAAAUAAAAAUUUUUAGUAUUAGUUAAAUUAUAAAUUUAAUAAUAUAAAUAUAAAUUUAUUAGGUGAAAUUUUUAAAUUUAUUUAUUUAUUAUCAAUAAAAUUAAUUUAAGCUAUAAACUUUUUGUAAUAAACUAGGAUUAGAUACCCUAUUAUUGAAAAUAAAUAUUUAAAUACUAAAGUAGUAGUAGUUAUAUUCUUAAAAUUUAAAAAAUUUGGCGGUGUUUUAGUCUAUUUAGAGGAAUCUGUCCUGUAAUUGAUAAUCCACAUUGAACCUUACUUAAAUUUGUUUAAUUUGUAUAUCGCCGUCAUCAGAAUAUGUUAUAAGAUAAAAAUUUUCUUAAUAUUUAAUUAAAUAAAAUGUCAGGUCAAGGUGCAGUUUAUAUUUAAGUAGAGAUGGAUUACAAUAAAUUUAUUUAAACGGAUAAUUUUUUGAAAUAAAAAUUUAAAGGUGGAUUUAAUAGUAAUAUAAAAUAGAUUAUUUGUAUGAUUUUAGCUCUAAAACAUGUACAUAUCGCCCAUCGUUCUUAUUUUUAAAAUAAGAUAAGUUGUAACAUAGUAGAUGUACUGGAAAGUGUAUCUAGAAAGA